AUAGGAUAACAAGCUGAGAGUAAGCCAGGGACCAAAUUCCUCCAUGAUCUGCUUCAAUUACUGCCUCCAGGUUCCUGCCUUGAAUUCCAGUCCUGGCUUCCCUCAAAGAUGCACUAAAGAAGUGUACUAAGCCAGGAGGAGCAAGCCAGUAAGCAGCAUCCCUCCAUGGCCUCUGUAUCAACCCGCUGGAGUUCCUGUCCUGGCUUCCUUCAAUGACUGCCUGACCAUAGCUGAGCUGAUAUCUGAUCAUUAUAUUCUGCUCAGGAGAAGAGGGCAUCAGAUACUACAACCUGGCCAUCAGCCCCCCCCCCCAUGCCUGCUUUCUCUCCGUGGACCCCACUUUUCUGUCUCCUCCUCUGCACAGCAUCUCAAUGAAUUAGCCUGAGAGCUGUACCCAAUAAACCUGCCUUUAUAUACUUUA
rnacentral:lncRNA from 1 species